rnacentral:rRNA from 1 species
UACGUAGGGUGCAAGCGUUGUCCGGAAUUAUUGGGCGUAAAGAGCUCGUAGGCGGUCUGUCGCGUCGGAUGUGAAAACCCCAGGGCUCAACCCUGGGCCUGCAUUCGAUACGGGCAGACUAGAGUUCGGUAGGGGGAGACUGGAAUUCCUGGUGUAGCGGUGAAAAUGCGCAGAUAUCAGGAGGAACACCGGUGGCGAAGGCGGGUCUCUGGGCCGAAACUGACGCUGAGGAGCGAAAGCGUGGGGAGCAAACAGG